UUAGCUGUCUACAUGAUAACACUGCAACCGGAGCUUUUUAAAAUCUUCACCCUGGCAGGAGUUUUCAAAAUGUUCGGUUUCAGUGACCUGCUGCAGUGUUUUUUUUACAGUCUAUGGUGAGGACGAACGGAACAAACCGCAUAGAAAAAGCUGCUGUUUUGAAAAUAACCGCGUUCGUGUGGACGGCCAAUGAGCGCGCGCGUUGAGCAUUCAAAUCGCAUUUAAACUGAAGCGGUGGAGGUUACCAUGGUAACAGGGCGUCAACUCACUCAGCUGACAAGUAGCGAGAAGCUGUCUCUCUGCUCUUUUCAUUGCUUUCAGGAGUGGUAUAGUGUCUUCAAAAAGACCGUUAGCAUCACAACCGUUAACUAUAGAGGCUAACAAUUAGAGGAGCGUCAGAAUAAAAUACCUAAAACAGGGGAAGUUACAAAAAAAUUUGUAAUGUGAGCUGCUGACAGAGAUACAGGAAACACAGAGCUGGAGCGGAGCAGAUCUCCUGUCGAAGAACAUCUCCAAAGCACCAUGAACCAUCUGACUAGGCAGUUCGUGAAGACGGAUAACCUGGACAGAAGUCAGUUCAAGAUCCAGCCUCCACACUAGACUUCUCACUCACAAGGAUUGCUGUCUACUAGAUAUUAUGUGUACUCUUCAGACUUAGGUUCAUGUAGAUAUUAUUCAGGGACAUGAACACUUGAAUACUGCAAAAAUAGAGAAACUACCUUAUUUAAGAAUUUUGUGUUAAUUGUGUGAACUUUAAACAAAUAUAUAUUUAUUUCACUGUUUUUUUGUUUUGUAUUCCAAAGCACCUAAAAGCCAAUUCACACUGCCAUACUCCAACAGGUUGAACACACUGACCAAGCAAAACAAAUAAGCAUGUUUUUAUAGUUUUUGUGAAAGUGUGAACUGACAAUGCUGUAUGUUAGGUGUGAGAUUCAUUCAACUUGGUUUGCCGAUUAAACAUGAUUAAAUAUUUGUUCAGAA